rnacentral:rRNA from 1 species
UACGUAGGAGGCAAGCGUUGUCCGGAAUUACUGGGCGUAAAGCGCGUGUAGGUGGUGGGACAAGUCUGCUGUGAAAGCGCCUGGCUUAACCGGGCGAGGUCGGCGGAAACUGUUCGACUCGAGGACGGUAGAGGGGGGUGGAAUUCCCGGUGUAGUGGUGAAAUGCGUAGAGAUCGGGAGGAACACCUGUGGCGAAGGCGGCCCCCUGGGCCGGCCCUGACACUGAGGUGCGAAAGCGUGGGGAGCGAACAGG